UGGGUCUGGCCGAGGGCGGAGCGGACUUUUCUACCGAGUCUCGGGGGGAGCCCGAAGGCGGAGCCGAUUCCUCCACCGAUUCCUGGGCGGAGCCGGGCUCCAAGGGCGGAGCGACCCCUGUUUUGUUAUGGACCCUCCUGAGUUGGUCCCCAUCAAAGGUCCUUCUGCCUGGCGUCCUUGGAACCAAUGGAAGGAAAUCAAGUUCAGUUCAGAAACAAAAGGAAGCUUUUAAUCUUCAUCAAAGAAAGGCAGGAGAUUGCCAUGUACUCAUACAGGGAGUAGUAAGAGGCAUACUGUACUGCUCCUAGAGUCAGAGGAACUUGACUCCAGCCUUUCUGCAUGUGCAACUAUAAAAC